UUUACAAUUCUUUUCGUUUUUAUUUAUUAAUUUUUCACAUAAUGCUUAUAGGUGUAAAGUCUUUGCUUUCCUCCCUCUGCUGGUAAAAUAAAAUCUGGACAAAUGGGCAGCCAACACCAUGGUUAGAACAGGAUGGAUGAGAGACCUCUGUGGACCUCUAGGUGCUACAAGUUACUGUCCCCACUAACCAAGUUUGGAUAAAUGUAGAACGUUUCUUCAUGAAGGGCAUCAAAUAAUACGACUGUACAACUGUAGGUAUAACACGUGAAUGGACAAGUGUAUACAAGGAUUUACAAUGCUUCACAAGUCUGUAAGAUAAGUGAAAUUUAAAGCACGUCCACUCUAUACUGUGUACUCAAAAAUAAAUCAAAAGGCUAUAGUCUACUUUGUUUAUUUUUAUAGGCUGUGGUUUACUUUUUUAAUUUUCAUAGGCUGUAGUCUAUUUUUUUUUUCAAACAGAGAUGCGGUUUCUCCUCCGAGCCACAUGAUGGCAGCAGAGGCUCCGGGUCACAAAAGGGUGAACGGAAAUGGGUCUACGUCAUUAGUUUACAUGUCUUAACGACAAAGAGAAGGUGGAGCGCGUGCGCAGACUGCCGGACAAACCUGCAAUGAAUGAUAAAUCUGCAGAGAACAACAGGUCUCUGACAACCAGUAAUAUAUCACUGUAUUCUUCCGAUAAAUGUGAAGAGGUUUGGUUUUAGCCUCUGAAACCAAAAAGCCGUUUGCUGUAUGUUCAAAUAGAAGAAAAUAGCUUUUUAAGUGUGCGAAUUGCGAAACUCCAUCAAUCCAGACUACUAGAGUCAGUGUGAUGGCAGGUUAAAUUCAUUUCAGGAGGCUGUAGUGGUGGACAUUGUUGGUACCCCUCAGUUAAAGAAAGAAAGUCCACAAUGCUCACUUAUUGAAAAUUAUAUAAUCAAAAUCAGCCAUUACUUUUGAGUUGCUGAUUAACAGAAUUAUUUAAAAAAAUAAACUAAUGAAAUAGGGCUGGACAAACAUGAUGGUACCUCCAUAAAAGACUGAGAACUAAUUGCCCAGGGCGUCAUGAUGAACUCAGGUAUGUCCUCUAAUUGACAACACAGCUGUUUUCAAACCCAUAAUCAGUCAGUCUGACUAUUUAAAGGGAGACAAAACAACCUCCAAAGACAUUAAAGGUGAACACCUAGAUCAAGGUACAUCAGUGUCAGAUUGCACCAUUCAUCGUUGUUUGAGCCAGAGUGGACUUCAUGGGAGACGACCAAGAAGGACACCACUGUUGAAAAGAAAUAAUAAAAAAGCCAG
rnacentral:lncRNA from 1 species